GUGCUUGUAGUCCAACGGUUAGGAUAAUUGCCUUCCGAGUAAUAGACCCGGGUACGACUCUGGCAAACGCA
rfam:Gossypium raimondii Chr03_contig_240, whole genome shotgun sequence.